CUCUUGACUUCAAAACAAACAUACAAAUACUAAACAGUAAUUGGAGUUCACCAAAAAGUUAGGACAUAUUCCUCUUUGGUUACUGAGUUAAAUAUAUAUGUCUUUAAAACUUUGAAAAGAGUAGGCAACUCUACAGUGUAGGUAAUAAUACUGGAAAGGUUAUGUUCACAAGCUUUCUGUCCAUAGAACAAAGACAUCACAAUCUAAAAAUGAAGUGAGAGUGAUGAACUUCAAUGACAACAAUAAAAGGUUGGGGGCCAGGAGAGUUGUUCAUUUAAUUGAGGGCACUACCUUCUCCUCACUCAGGUAUAGGAUAUUGUUCCAUUUUAAGCCAUUGAGAGAGAGGGGCUUUAUAUUUUAAAUUGGAAGCUAAUAAAUGCUCUUUUUCUCAUUAACACACAUGACCUCUAUGAUUUAUGCUCUCAUGCACACUGGCCCAGUUUCUCAGUUUCUGUUAAUGAUGUUGAGAACCUCUGCUUAACAUGAAUUAUUUCCUUACCAAUUCCCUGUAAAUUCACAAUAGAUGUUAAUUGUAAUGAUCUGCCUGUCUUGUUCAGGAAAGAAAAAUAUCAAAAUGAACCUAGCCUGUUGUGCUUUUCUGAUGUUCUUCAAAAUGUGUAUAAAUUGAUUCCAUUUAUGAGAAUUAUGAAGGCAGGCAGCUUUGUCAUGCUUCUUGUGGUAGUGAUAAUGUAUGUGUUUCUUAUUUCAGAUAAGCUAUUUGCUGUUCAAAUAACAAUUAGUAGAACUGGAAUGAGAAAGACAGAUAAGGAUAACUGAUAAUUAGGUUUAGAGGACUCUGUCCUAUUUUAUGUUCUUAAUUUAUGGUACAUUAGAUAUUUUCAUAUAGUUUUGCUUUCCUUGACACAGAUGAAUAUGAAAGUUGAAUUUAACUCUAAAUUCAUAUUAAAGUGCUAGAAAAUGAUAAAUACAUUCCAAAUUUUGAAAUUUGUAUGAUUAAUGGAUUGAGUUAAUAUUUAGUUUUUUAAAUUAAUGAAUAAGAGACUUUAGGGGAAAGAGGUUAGCCAGCAAUACAGCUCAGGACAAGCUGAUGUUGUAGUUAUUCUUUGAAAGAGUUGACAUGACUGUAGGAUUCUCAUUACUGCAGUGACUAUAAAGAUGUUUAUUAUAGUCCUCAUCUUGAUCAAGAGGUGAUAAUUUUAGCACCUGAUAACUGGGCAAAUGAAUAAGAUAGAUUUUAUAAACUCAUAGAAUUAUAGAGUACUAGAGCCAUUAGGAGAUUGUCCAAUUCAAUCCCUGCUAAUAUAGGAAAGGAAACUAAACCCCAACAAUAUACAGUACUUUGUUAUAUACAUUUUUCCAACUUACUUAGAUUUCAGUUUUCUUAUUUCUUGCCUUGGUGACCUCUUUCUCUUUUUAUUUAUUCUUAGUAGACUAUAGAUUUUUUCUUAAAUCAAUAAUUUCCCAAAAAUUAUAAGAAUAAUUGUUAUGUAAUAUAGAUUUUCUCUUGUCUUUAUUCUGAGCUUCUAGCAUGGAUAGGCGUGUCUCAGUUAUUCCUGAGCCCAAGUGUGGACCUGAGAUUAUGCUGGUAAGAUGACUCCUUCUUAGCAUCUGAUGAUGGCCGGUCACGAUGGAAAGACAAACUAUGUGGACAGAAUGUUGGGGCUUGGAACCAAGUGAUACCAGCCCAACCUCCCAUCAUCUGAGGAGAAACACCUGGAGACUGAGUCCAAUCACGUGACCAAAACUUCAGUAAACAAAGAACAAGCUGUACUGGAUGGGAUUGAUGUGCUGCUAAGCCAGAAAAUAUGCUCCAGGAGGUUAAAACUGCAAGUGCUAGAUUUGCUGGACAAGCACAACAACUUUUGGAGAGUCUGGACUGGAAACAAGUUGGAAGCCUGCUCCUCCUCAGAAGCCAUGAAGAAGAGAAACACAGAGAAGAGUGGGCCAAGGGCGGCAGAAAAGCAGCCCCUCAAGGUGAUUGUAGACCUGGAGCUCAGUCACACAUGUCUGUAUCUAUUCCAAUCCUACCUCCUCAAGUGGAUCCAGCAGAGGAAAGGUCUGGUGCAGUUGGAUUGUCCGAAGCUGUGCAUUAAAGAGCAGACAUUCAAAGUAUCAUAGAGAUCAUAGAAAUCCUGAACCUUGAUUCUGUGCAGGUGGCAGAACUGGGUGACUGCUGGACAUUAUCCACCUUGGCUCUUUUGGCCCCUUAUCUGGUUGAGAUGAAAAAUCUUCAGACACUAAUCAUCUCUGACAUCUCUGUGCCUGAGUUCCUUUCCUCAAAGGAGUUAGAGCAGUUGCUCACCCAAAGCACCUCUCAAUUUUGUAAGCGUCACCAUCUGGAGAAGAUUUGUAUAGACUCUCUCUCCAUCGUGAGCCAGUGCCUGCUCCGGAUGUACAGGCCUGUGUGAUCACAGAUGCCCUACCUUGAGCCGAUGCUUCCAGCUCACUACAUUCAGCUACUUGAGGAACUCCAUGUCCAUAGCCACCCUGGAUAGCCUGCUGUGUCACACUGCAAGGCUGAGGAACUUACGCCUGAAUGUCUCCUGGCUGAGACUGGACUAGUUUCAGGGUGGGCUAAGGAGGAUGGUGCAGCCAUUAAACCAUCCCAGGAUAGUCCGGUUUUGUGUUGCUCAUUGUGUGCUCCCUUGUAACUAUAGAGUCUAUUAACUGCACCCUGCUUCGUGGCCUACUUGUAUCACUAUCUAGUUGGAUUUAAGUAUCCUAUGUUUGCAUUGGGCACCAGGGACACAGGACCUUUGUUUCAAUGUUAAUGAGAAAAAGGUAGGUCAGACAGCAAACUUGGGGAAUCAUCGGAUCCAGAGUUAAAGUGACUUUUGUAGACUCAGGUCCUAGAAAGCAUCAGAAAGAGGAAUCUGAGUUUCUAGCUAUAAAUUCAGGCUUCAGAUGAAUAUGUGUUUGAUUGUAAAGAAAUGAUCUGAAAUAAAGAGAGUUGCAUUUAAAAAAAAUAGCAAAGAAAAUGUAAAAAGUUUAAUUUCAAAUUAAACAUUUCCUUCUUUAUUUCUUGCAUGUUUUGAGUUAGGUUAUUUGUGAUACAAAAAUUAUUUUAAAAUCUUAUUACCUCAAAGUUAAUUUCUUUUUUUUCCAGUUGUCUAAGAGCUUUUGAUUUUUAAAAAAUUCUUCAAUUUCAUAAUAUAUGUGAACAUGAAUUCUCUAGACCUAUUCCUAAUGAUUGGAGGAAUCCUUGGUAACAUUUUUCCUUCAUUUCUCGUUCAGCUUUUUCUAUGUAGGACAGUCAAGUUGAAGGACUCCCCUGAUACCCUUAGAGAAAGUUGCUUAGCGAGAAACACUGAAGUUUUAUAAACAGCUGGUGUAGAACACUUCUGCUGAAGUUUUAGGUUUGACUAGUGUGCUCAGUUUAGAAAAUGAAUUACAGCUUUCAUCAGUUAACUUGUGCAGAGCUAAGGUAAUUAAUAGGAGGACUGAUGGAUGUCAUUGAAAAUUGAUGAUCACACUAGCAGUGAAAUAGUAUUCAGAUUGUUUUCAUCUUCCUUGUUUAAAAGAAUAUGCAUGAAGAAAAGAGCCCACAAAUUGAGAUUGAGUCUACAGAAUGACUGUUAUAAAUAAAUAAUGCAAUUUGA